rnacentral:rRNA from 1 species
AUUGAACGCUGGCGGCAGGCUUAACACAUGCAAGUCGAGCGGGGGAGGUUGCUUCGGUAACUGACCUAGCGGCGGACGGGUGAGUAAUGCUUAGGAAUCUGCCUAUUAGUGGGGGACAACAUUCCGAAAGGAAUGCUAAUACCGCAUACGCCCUACGGGGGAAAGCAGGGGAUCUUCGGACCUUGCGCUAAUAGAUGAGCCUAAGUCGGAUUAGCUAGUUGGUGGGGUAAAGGCCUACCAAGGCGACGAUCUGUAGCGGGUCUGAGAGGAUGAUCCGCCACACUUGGACUGAGACACGGCCCAGACUCCUACGGGAGGCAGCAGUGGGGAAUAUUGGACAAUGGGCGGAAGCCUGAUCCAGCCAUGCCGCGUGUGUGAAGAAGGCCUUUUGGUUGUAAAGCACUUUAAGCGAGGAGGAGGCUCUUAAGGUUAAUACCCUUGAUGAGUGGACGUUACUCGCAGAAUAAGCACCGGCUAACUCUGUGCCAGCAGCCGCGGUAAUAC